rnacentral:rRNA from 1 species
CGCGUAGGCGGCCGGAUAAGUCAGAUGUGAAAGCCCCGGGCUCAACCUGGGAAUUGCAUUUGAUACUGUUCGGCUCGAGUAUGGUAGAGGGGGUGGAAUUCCAGGUGUAGCGGUGAAAUGCGUAGAUAUCUGGAGGAACAUCAGUGGCGAAGGCGACCCCCUGGACCAAUACUGACGCUGAGGUGCGAAAGCGUGGGGAGCAAACA